UACGUAGGCGGAAAAUUAAGUCAGUAGUGAAAUCCCGCAGCUUAACUGUGGAACUGUUAUUGAUACUGGUUUUCUUGAAUAUAGUUGAGGUAGGCGGAAUGUGUAAUGUAGCGGUGAAAUGCAUAGAUAUUACACAGAACACCGAUUGCGAAGGCAGCUUACUAAGCUAUGAUUGACGCUGAGGUACGAAAGCGUGGGGAGCGAACAGGAUUAGAUACCCUGGUAGUCC
rnacentral:rRNA from 1 species